CGCCGUAUUCAAGCUUUGUAAAAUGGGCAGGGUAUAUUUUUACUGCUGGGAAUGUGCUUUCAGAUGGCACAUAUCUUUUGCCCUAUAUCAUGUUGUUAACAAAACCAAAUUAAAUGUUUUAAAACCAAGAAAAUAAUAUCAAGACAUAUAUUGGCAUACAUGUAUCUUCAUUGAAUUGUAUGAUCCUAUAUAUAAGUUACAGUUAACUAAAUAGAAACAAAGGUCACAUGCAAAGAUAAUAGAACAAAUGAUUCCUAAAACCUAGUACUGUCUGGUGCAGAUGGCAGUACACAGUGCAUUGUACUGUCUGAUCUCAUACUAAGAGAACAGAAGAUUAAUAUAAGCAGGCAUUGACAUUUGAAUUUGCACAAACUGACGACCUGAUGCAUAAUGUAUCUUGUGAGGGAUUCUAGUUAUUUUGCAAGUAAAUAUGUAAACCUGAGCAUUAUUUGUUAUUUUACACUUAGCCUACUUGCCUGUCAUUUGCUGUUAGAGGAUUGUUCCUUGAGAACUCCAAAACGUUCAGGUCUUUUACAAGGGUGUUCCUUGCUGUACCCACGGUGAAUGGAAAAGGGUUGAGUAUAAUUAAUGAUGAACUACAUAUUCGCAACCCAUCUUCAGCUCGAAUGGAGGAUGCUGCCAAUGGAACAGCUGCCUCUACAGAUGCAAUUAACACAUUACAGGCCUCUCCAGCUUUACUCAGGUUUUCAUCAGAAAACAGUUCUGCUCAAGCAUCAACUCCACAGCAAGAAGAAAUGGUACUCCGGUUUUCUGAACAAUCUACAAUGAAUGUACAAUGGUCAUACAAAUGUCUUUCUGAAAAUGAGUGGAAUUAUGAAAAAGCUGCACACGUGUUCACUUCUUUAAAGGUAUAAAGUGCGCAUGACCUGCUGAUUAUUAGAUUAUUGUGAUUAAAAAAUUGUGUAAAUUGUGUUUCAUGAUGCAAUCGCAGAUGCCUAGUUUUACCAGAGCAACUGUGUAAAACUAUAAGCCUGCUGAAAAAGUAUGCUACAUAUAAGCCCUUCCCCACCAAUAUUACCUCGUUAACUUACGAAAUCUAGUGUCCUCCAGGAUCAUUGUACUCUUGAUAUAAAAUAUACAAUAGUUCAUUGGAAAGCCAGUGACUAAUUUCGAAACCCAAGUGAACUAUUAUGUCUCCGAUCAUGUGUUAAGAUAAUUUUGGUAAUGUACCACAUCUAAAAUACUACAGCUUGCUGUAAUGUGCAAAUACAUUAAUUUGUGUUCUGAUACAUGGUGAAUUCUGUUUUUAAAGAUGACUACUAAAUUGAAUUUUUAUACCAGUUGUAAAAACAUAGACAUGCCUCAGGCAUGCAAGGUGUGCAAGAGUUAUUUAAUUUUUUGGUGAAGUAAAAGCCCCGGGGGGUAGCAGCACUCAGUGGAGUCUUAACAGUAACUGUUAUGAUAAAGUUAUUCCAACAAGUUUGUUUGGUUACGAUUUACGGCGAAAAGAUUGAAUUUCUUUCACCUUAGGAACUGUAAUGUCAAGCUUAUAUUACAUUUAUCAAGGUUUGGUUUUGACAGUCGAUCGGUGGCUUUUUUAUUAUAACUACAUUGAACUGUUCCCAGCAAGUUUCCUUGUCACAUCAUUCCAAAUGCCUGAGACGGGGACAAAACAUCAGUUCGAGAAAAAGUUUUUAUGAGAGACAGAUGUUACUAAAACGGGAAUGGGAAUGGGGAAUGGGGAAUUGAAAUGGGAAAUUUAAAAUGGGAAAUUGAAUUUUUUUUACAUUAACUUUUUAUAAUGUGGAAUAGAUUUUUCAUCGACGAUUAUCGAUACCCACAUUUUAUUUCUUUGGAACGUUCUGCACCAAAACAAAGGAUAUGAUAAAGAGAGAAGUCGCCCUGCCUUGUUUCUUUAUUUAACUACCUGAAGCUAAGCAAGCAUUGAAGAGAAAAUUAACGAAUUUGUAACGAAAAUUGUGAUGAACACCAAAACUCAGGGCCUCGGUUGGGAGUUUGGUCCCACUCUGAGGACACGAUUAAAAUAUUGUGAGCAUCAGCAAAGGGCAAGAAGGAGAAAAACGCUUGCAGGAAACCCACAGAAGUUCAUUGAAUGGCUGCAUCAUGCACGUGCAACCAAUUUAUGCAAAUUACCACUUGAAACCUGUCAAAUUCAUCAUAUGUCUAGUGCAUCUGUUGGUUGUGAAAGUAAUAUAUUUUUUACACGAUUUUGCUCAGCUUCAGGUAGUGAAAUAAAGAAACAAGGCAGGGUGACUUCUCCUGUUAUCAUAUCCUUUUGUUUUGGUGCAGAACGUUUCAAAAAAAUAAAACAUGGAUAUCGAUAAUCGUCAAUGAAAAAAUUUAUUCCACGAUUCGCCUACAUUGAAGUCAUUUCACCUACAAUUAAGUCGAAGUUAUUUUGGGAAGAUAGAUGUACAAUGACUGUCAGACUUCUUUUGGUGAAAGGGAAGUCGAAAGGAAAAUCAGGCAAUAACAGUUUAUUUUUGCAAAUCAGCUAUAUUUUGUAAUCAGUGUCACUCUAUCACAUCAUGCCCUCAUUAUGGAAUAAAUUUUUGCAGAAGAAAUUUUUGCAGGAACUUUUUUGUGUCAAGUUACAAUUGAAACAAACAAAUAAAAAAAUCUUGUUACAAUUACCUGCAACAAAAACAAUUUUCAAAACUCAGCAGUGUUCUCACUCAUAACUAGUGGUCUGUAGUUUCUUUGGUUUUGACAGAGGAAACCACUUUAAAUGAGUGUCUCAGUAUCUAUUGCAAGAAACGUUUCAAUGGGAAGACAUUCAGGAACCGAAACAUUUUACGCAAACAUAAAUGGUUUGGACUUGAUUCUUUUUUUGUGAACUGCACGUGAUGCAAAUUAUAUCAAUGGGAACCUGACGAACACCAUCACAGUAGUGCAUUUUCCACUGAAAACAAUCAUUCCUUUCCUAGAAAUCACCAAUUAGUCAUCAUUCAAAAAUUCUUUUAAUGCAAAAAGCAAAGCCUUGAUGACAUGUUAGUAUAUGCCAAAGACUAUGAUUCCUCGGUUGAUUAUCAAAUUCAGAACUCUUUUGAAACCCAUCUAUAAAGUCCUGGGCUUAACCAUAGUAAACGCAACAUUGGCAAUAUCAAAAUAAGACCAACACAAGAAUACCUGUUUGUGGGGAAUUUGUCAAGUUUGGUAUUUAUAUUUAUUGUGAUCAUUGUAUUUUAACAGAUAAAAAGUAGAUAAAACGUUUAUACUUGAAGAUAAUAUUCGAGACAGAGAAAUGAUCAAACCACAGAUAACAAACUAUGGUAAAAUGAAAUCAGGGCAAGUUUCAUCAUUCUGUACUUGCCUAUUGGAAAUGCUUUAUUUUCCAUAAAUUCCAUCAGGUAUCUUGUUUGAUCAACUGAUAUUUCAAACUUUCUUAGAUUUCACGAAAAUUUGAACUUACAGGAACUUUGAAAUUUCUGAGAAUAGUUUCACUGCAGCUGUUACGGGAUUCUACAUAUUUACAGGCAGAUGCUGUUUAAGAUUGCACAACUAAGGGUGCGUUCCUUUGGGGUGAUCUGGAUCAGGAUCAGUGAUCCA